UUAUAUGUUUUUCCCUUGAACUGUUGCAGAAUAAAUUUGGAUAUUCUCGAAAGAUACCGUCUUUGAAAAGGUCAAUAUUCAAGGCAACCUUGGAGCGAAUGUUUGGUUUGUUUGGUUCUUUUUCAAUGAUUUCUUCACAAGGAGAAACAAGAGAUGAGUUGGGUGAUAACUUCAGGCAUUGGUGCAUUGUCCAUACCAAAUUUUCAUUUUUGGCUCAUUGUGCUAAUUCAUUUGAGCUUGAUCCUAUAAAUAAAAGAUUUAUUCCCAAAGCUUAAAGGAGCUAGCCUUGUUUGCUCUGUACCUCCUUCUGUACCUCCUUCUUGUAAUAGGUUAAUAUUUCUUCGUCAAUUUUAUUAGUGGAAUAGUCUGGCGAUAUAUCUUAUCCAAGCCAAUUACUGUCUUCAAGGUAACUCGCAGCUUGGCAGCAAAAGCUUUUCAGACCUCUCUCCCCCUUUGUAAGGAGACAUUUUUUUCAGCAACUAUGGAGGAUCAUGUUGUUAAAAGGUUUAAUGUCCUGGAACCAUUCCUCCAUGAGCAUUUCCAUUACAAUUUCAGAUGAAAGCCUAAGCUAUUUGUCAAUCCUAAGGUGCCUCUAUAUCCAUGACUUGCUCAAGGGAAGUCUUGGGAUGAAAUGACAGUUACCUGGACUAGUGGAUAUCACAUAAAUGAAGCUAUACCAUUUGUUGAGUGGGGUUCUGAAUGUAAAACACAAGUGAAAUCUUCUGUCGAAACAUUGACAUUUGGUCCUAACAACAUGUGUGGUAUGGUUUAUUUGGUCGUAAUGCCAUCGCACAACCCUUUUUGUACUACUGCAUGCUAGUCUGAUCCAGUUAAUAUUUUUCAGAAACCUAGCUGCAAAAUGAUUUUUUGCUUAGCAUUAUGUAUAUUGUCUAAACCCUUACUAGGAGUCAUCAUGAGCAUUAAUCUAUAAUUAAUUCUGGAGACGAAGGACGGAAGAAACACUUGGCCUCCGCGUUCGAUGUCUUUAGUCAUGCUAGUUCUGACAUGGUAGAUUUCCACAUCUCGUCCGUUUUCCAAGCAUGCAAUGCUAAAGAAAACUAUCUCCGAAUCCAGGACGAUACUUUAAAUGGCCAUGUCCAAGUUGCGGAAGCAUUGUUAAAGAAACCAGUUUCAAAGAUUAACUUGAGGACUGGUGUCACAACCAGGAAGACGGCGAGACUCUUAAAAAUAAUAUUGGUUUAAAAAUUAGAGUUUGGAGUUGCCACCAUAGUUUAUUCUGGAAAACUACGAAAAAACCAUAAAAUAAAGACAUGGUCUACGAAACAAGAGAUUAUGGAUGCGAGAGUCGGUUACGCGUAGGGAAGGUAUUAGCACCCUACAGCGCUUGCCCAAAAGCAGUACCUUUAAUUAAAUGUGCAAAGAUGAUGUGGUUUUCAA